rnacentral:rRNA from 1 species
UACGUAGGGUGCAAGCGUUAAUCGGAAUUACUGGGCGUAAAGCGUGCGCAGGCGGUUUUGUAAGUCUGACGUGAAAGCCCCGGGCUUAACCUGGGAAUUGCGUUGGAGACUGCAAGGCUGGAGUCUGGCAGAGGGGGGUAGAAUUCCACGUGUAGCAGUGAAAUGCGUAGAGAUGUGGAGGAACACCGAUGGCGAAGGCAGCCCCCUGGGUCAAGACUGACGCUCAUGCACGAAAGCGUGGGGAGCAAACAGG